rnacentral:sRNA from 1 species
ACUAGGUAUGGUGGCUCAUGCCUGUAAUCCCUGCAAUUUAGGAGGCUGAGGUAGGAGGAUUGCAAGUUCAAGGACAACCCUAGCAGCAUAGCAAGACCCUGUCCCAA